GACGAACGCUGGCGGCGUGCCUAACACAUGCAAGUCGUACGGGACCGGGGGCAACUCCGGUUCAGUGGCAGACGGGUGCGUAACACGUGAGGAACUUGUCCGGUGGCGGGGGAUAGCCGGCCCAACGGCCGGGUAAUACCGCAUACGCUCGUUCGGGGGCAUCCCUGGGCGAGGAAAGCAGCCGCAAGGUUGCGCCGACGGAGGGCCUCGCGACCUAUCAGCUUGUUGGCGGGGUAACGGCCCACCAAGGCGACGACGGGUAGCUGGUCUGAGAGGGCGACCGGCCACACUGGGACUGAGGACACGGCCCAGACUCCUACGGGAGGCAGCAGUGGGGAAUCUUGCGCAAUGGGCGAAAGCCUGACGCAGCGACGCCGCGUGAGGGAUGACGGCCUCGGUUGUAA
rnacentral:rRNA from 1 species